UUCCGGUUGAUCCUGCCGGAGGCGACCGCUUUGGGAGUUCGAUUAAGCCAUGCGAGUCGUGAGUCUUAGGGACUCGGCAUACUGCUCAGUAACACGUGGAUAACCUGCCCUAUCGUCUGGAAUAACCUCGGGAAACUGAGAAUAAGGCCGGAUAGUUCACAAUGCCUGGAACGGUUUGUGAAUCAAGGUAGGAUGGGUCUGCGGCGUAUCAGGUUGUAGGGGGUGUAAAGGACCCCCUAGCCUUCGACGCGUACGGGUGUUGGGAGACAUAGCCCGGAGAUGGAUUCUGAGACACGAAUCCAGACCCUACGGGGUGCAGCAGGCGCGAAAACUUCACACUGCAGGAAACUGUGAUGAGGGAACUCCUAGUGCAUGCACUAUGUGUAUGUAGAUCCUACUCUUAACAAGUAGAGGGAAAGGGCUGGGAAAGACCGGUGCCAGCCGCCGCGGUAAUACCGGCAGCUCAAGUGGUCGUCGCUUUUAUUGGGCCUAAAACGACCGUAGCCUGUUUGGUAAAUCUGUGGGUAAAUCAAUCCGCUCAACGGAUUGAAUUCUGCAGAGGCUGCCAGACUAGGGACCGGGAGAGGUGUGGGGUACUCGAGGGGUAGGGGUAAAAUCCUGUCAUCCUUCGAGGACCACCAGCUGCGAAGGCGCCACACUGGAACGGAUCCGACGGUCAGGGACGAAGCCUAGGGGCACGAACCGGAUUAGAUACCCGGGUAGUCCUAGGUGUAAACGCUGUGAACUUGGUGUCGGGGGUCCGCAAGGGGUCCCCGGUGCCGGAGUGAAGAUGUUAAGUUCACUGCCUGGGGAGUACGGUCGCAAGGCUGAAACUUAAAGGAAUUGGCGGGGCAGCAC
rnacentral:rRNA from 1 species